UACGUAGGUGGCAAGCGUUGUCCGGAUUUAUUGGGGUUAAAGGGUGCGUAGGCGGUUCUAUAAGUCAGUGGUGAAAUCCGGCAGCUCAACUGUCGAUGUGCCAUUGAUACUGCAGAACUUGAGUACAGACGAGGUAGGCGGAAUUGACGGUGUAGCGGUGAAAUGCUUAGAUAUCGUCAAGAACACCGAUAGCGAAGGCAGCUUACUAGACUGUAACUGACGCUGAUGCACGAAAGUGUGGGGAUCAAACAGG
rnacentral:rRNA from 1 species